UUAGAACCUUCUCAUAUGAUAAUAUAUUAUUUAGUUACACAUACACUGUACAAGAUUACUCAAAGACAAUCUUUUUCUAUUUUUUCCAACAAACUUAACUCAGAUAAUAUCUUUUAAGAUAUUAACUUCUGUUAACAUUUUCUAUAAAAAAAGCUUGUCGGUCCGAGACCUACAGUAAAUAACUAUGUUUUAACAUCUCAUUCCGUCUUUUCCUUUUUCAUUGUAGUCCUCAUAAAAAUGAACAGAUCAUCCGGAUUUUAAUAUUGUCUAUUUAAUCUACUUUAAAUGUAACGAUUUGAAACAUUCAUUAACACUUUAAUGGGUUUGGUUCUUUUGGUCGGGUUGAAGUUGAGAUGAAGGCACCGCUUCAGCAUCGCUAUUUCUGGAUAAGUGAAUUUUUACCACUGUGUUUUAAUGAGUAAUCCAACCGCUUCCAUUGUCGGCCAAUAUAUCUUCUGGAUCUUCAUGUCCUGUACAGCCUACGUUUAAAGAACUUUUCCAGAGCAAAAUGCAACUUAGGCCGGUUCACUGAUGUGUUCAAAAAAGUUUGCACCUCUACUCCUCGAAAGAAACCAAGGUCUUCCAAAAAGUUUUUUAUUUUAUUGGGCCCCAAAGAAUCAGUUGUUACUUUCUCACUAGAGGCCCUGCAUAUUUCAAUCCUUCAUGCAAUAAUUUUAAGGGGUCUCACCGGAGUUGGAGAAAUUGAUUGAAAUUCAUAAGGAUAAUCCGGACUUGGGACAGCUCAAUAUUGCCCCACCUCUGUCAAAUCCAACUUAACUGCAUUAGACAUCAAGCUGGAUCAUGAGAACAAUACUAGCGACCUACGAUGGUUUCAAAAAGUUUCAUGUUAGGCAGAAUCGGGUCAGUAUCUCCUCCACUAAAGAAAAUGAGAUAUCAAAGAUGUCCUGGAGUACUUCCAAGAGCAGGCUAAAGAAGAAGCCAUUAUCGAAAUGGGAAUUUAUUAAAUUUUUAGAGUUCAUCUAGGAUGAAGAAUAUAUACAGGACUCUGAGAUGAAAUCCGUAAUCCGUACCCUCUAUUGUAUUAACAAAAAUAAUAUAUAACUGUAAUUUUUAAUUCAAAUAAAAAAAGUAAUUCAUUG
rnacentral:lncRNA from 1 species